AAACCAGCACCUCAAGUGGUCAGGAUGAUUAUUGGGCCUAAAGCAUCCGUAGCCUGCUCUGUAAGUUUUCGGCUAAAUCUGUACGCUCAACGUACAGGCUGCCGGGAAUACUGCAGAGCUAGGGAGUGGGAGAGGUAGACGGUACUCGGGAGGAAGUGGUAAAAUGCUUUGAUCUCUCGAUGACCACCUGUGGCGAAGGCGGUCUACCAGAACACGUCCGACGGUGAGGGAUGAAAGCUGGGGGAGCAAACCGGAUUAGAAACCCGAGUAGUCC
rnacentral:rRNA from 1 species